rnacentral:lncRNA from 1 species
AUCAGACAUAUCCAUAGAGUGAUAUCAACUGCUUUCACAUUCAGCUGUGUAGUCACAAAGCUGAUUUCAAAUCAUUCCAUCAACCCAACAACGGAAACCAACUGCAAAUUAAGAAGUCAUUUAAUUGGCUGGAAGCAAUUGAGAGCUACCUGUUACUAAGGCAAUGCAAAGCUUCUGUGCCUGAAAAAUUGCAUGAUAUUGUGAAUCUUCAAUCACCAAAAAACUUCAUGUGGACAGGUUUUAAUCUCUGCAAAAGUGGUAUUUGUCUCUGGAAGCCUUCAGUUCUGGACUAAUUCAUUUUGGGUUAAACCAUGCUGCACACCAAGAUGUAAAAGGAAGAAAUGUGCAGUCUUCUCAAUUCCUCAGGUUUGCUACAGCGCCAGGUUUUCAGUUAGGCACCUAAA